rnacentral:rRNA from 1 species
UACGUAGGCAGCGAGCGUUGUUCGGAAUUACUGGGCGUAAAGAGUGUGUAGGCGGUGCUCUAAGUUCGGUGUGAAAUCUCCUGGCUCAACUGGGAGGUGCGCCGGAAACUGGAGUGCUUGAGCGUGGGAGAGGAAAGCGGAAUUCCUGGUGUAGCGGUGAAAUGCGCAGAUAUCAGGAGGAACACCGGUGGCGAAGGCGGGUCUCUGGGCCGAUACUGACGCUGGAGGAGCGAAAGCCGUGGGGAGCGAACAGGA